GAAGCCAGGCCAAGAAGAAUCCCAGGACUGGAAGGCUUUGUGGGAUGUCCCAGGUUUGUCUUGUGUGAAUAGCACUGAUACUCAAUCUCCUACUCCCAUCUGUGAGCAUGCAGACCCUACUUGCCUUCCCACAGCCUCCCUUUUCAUAUUUUUCAUGUUUCUUUAGCUCUGUCUUCAAGCCUGGUUGCUCCCGCAAAAAACCUGCCUCUUCCUCCAGUCCUCCCAAGCAGGGGGAACAGUCCUGACACCUUUCCAAGCCCUGGUCCACGGACAUUGUGCCCCCUUCUCCCUGCCCAUGGUGACAUGCUCCAAAACCCUCAAGAAGAAGGGAGUGUAUGUCAGUUUCCUCUCUGUAAAGUAAAAAUAAUUUUGCAGGGGACUGUGUGGAUGAAAUGACAUGAUGCAUGGAAAUCCCUUAGCGUGUGCCUGGCAUGUAAACUGCAGGUGUCAUCAUUAUUACUGAGGAAUACUGAGUCCUGAACAUGGCUGUCUCAUUGGCGGAUUGGGGUCUCCCCCAGGGCAUUCAUCUACUAUGUGUUUAUUGCACCCUUUUUCCAUGUGAGGCACAUGCCAGGGACUGGGCACAUGGUAUGAACAAGACACAGAUCAUCGGUGUCCUCGAGCUCCCUGGCUUGGCAGCAGAUGCAUACCUGGGAAGGAUGCUAGGUCAUCCGGGAACUCUACCUCCUUCACAUCCCUAAGGACUGUGCUCCCAAUCCGCUUAUGCUCAAGGAAGAACUGCCUGGAAGCCCUCCCUGGUACCAUACCCCAGCCGAUGAGUAUGUACCCCCAGAAGUACUUCCGCUCGGAGAAGAAGGAGACGGCAAGCAGGGUGUACAGGAAGGCCCAGAACCAGCCUGAUGUCAGGAUCAGAACAAAAGAGGAGGACUGCAUAUGUAUGGACCCACUCCAGAUGGCACGGGGACGGGGGGGAGUAGGAAAAGUGGCAUGAUGAGGGAAUGGAGGCACAGACUGAUUAGAAAACCAGCUCAAGGUCAUGUUGCUGGGCUCUCUGGUGGAGCCUGUCUCACAGGCCACCUGCAGGCCAACACUCCCAGAAGCAGCUAGCACCAUGGUUGACCUCGUCCAGGUCCAGGGAAGGCCUCCCUCUCCAGGACUCCUUUAGAUUUCCCCAGCAUCCAGACCUCACCUGCCAAAGUGCCGUAGCCCUGGAAGCCACACAGUGAGCACGAGCUCCAUCUUGCACCUUUACCAGCCGAUGAGGGUAAAGACAUUAGCUGAAAUACUUCUAAGGGGCCAGGCGUGGUGACUCACGCUUGUAAUUCCAAGCACUUUGGCAGGCUGAGGCAGGUGGAUCACCUGAAGCCAGGAGUUCAAGAGCAGCCUGGCCAACAUGGCAAAACCCUGUCUAUACUAAAAAUACAAAAAUUAGCCAGGCAUGGUGGCGGGAGCCUGUAAUCUCAGCUCCUAGGG
rnacentral:antisense_RNA from 1 species